rnacentral:lncRNA from 1 species
UGCAAUCCGUGGCCGGAAGCUUGAGUUUGACUCAAUCCCGGCGAGUUUCCCCUAUUCUGUCGCCGCUCAUUGCCGUCUGCCAUUGCUCGCGCGCCGCCGCCCAUGUUCCAGAUGAUCGUAGCCACCCGAUCUUGAUCCAACGGUCCAGAUUAGAUCUGACCCGGGUCAAUACCGGUCAACCAUGCGCCAUGCUGUUCUUUUUGCUAAAGAGCCCAUGAGUUUUAUAGUUUUG